rnacentral:rRNA from 1 species
UUGAGGAAGUAAAAGUCGUAACAUUCMGSUUUCCGUAGGUGAACCUGCGGAAGGAUCAUUACUGAGUUUGAAAGGGGUUUGCAGCUGGCCUUCAGGGGCAUGUGCUCGCCCCGCUCAUCCACUCUACACCUGUGCACCUUUUGUGGGUCAGGAGCAAUCCUGAUCUACGUCCUACACAAACAAACAUGUAUCAGAAUGUAUACCGCGUCUAUAACGCAUUUAAAUACAACUUUCAACAACGGAUCUCUUGGCUCUCGCAUCGAUGAAGAACGCAGCGAAAUGCGAUAAGUAAUGUGAAUUGCAGAAUUCAGUGAAUCAUCGAAUCUUUGAACGCACCUUGCGCUCCUUGGUAUUCCGAGGAGCAUGCCUGUUUGAGCGUCGUGAAUAUAUCAACCCAUCAGCGUUUAUUCGCUCCUGGGUUUGGAAUUGGAGGCUUUGCUGGUGAUGAUCAGCUCCUCUCAAAUGUAUUAGCUGGGCUUUAGCUCGGAGGAACAGUCGGUGUGAUAAUUAUCUGCGCCGUCACUUACUACUCCGGAUCCCGCUCCUAAUUGUCUUCGGACAACUUUUAUGAAUCUGACCUCAAAUCAGGUUGGAAUACCCGCUGAAGUUAAGCAUAUCAAUAAGGCGGAGGGAA